UUAAGUUUGACUUGUGUUGUUGGGCCUUGGUCAAGGUUGAUUUAACCUUGUUGAGUUAAAAUCAUUAGAUUUAUGGGAUUGAUGAAAUGUAUAUUUCGUCUCCCAAAAUGAAUGAAUGAUUUUAAUUUGAUAAAAGUCCUCCUUUGACGAAUUUGUGUUGAUUUCAUUUCCUCUCCCUCUUCAUCUCAAUCCCAUUCUACUCUCAUUCAUUUCAUGGACCUAUAAUAUCUUUAUAUCCAAAGGCUAGUUGAUUGCAAAAUCAACAUAAGUAGGGAUGAGAUUAAGUCCACCCCUUUUACAUUUUUUGUAAGUGUGGUAUGUUUUAGGAGUAUGGUUCAUAAUACCAUAUCUCUAACAUGCAUUAGCACUAAAAUUUGUAUUGCCCAGCCUCAAAUAGUUGUGACUUCUACAUAAGUCCAAUUACGAUUGCUUAACAUAAUGCUAAAUUUUGACACAAAAAGCAUAGCAUUCUAGUAAGUGAGAUUGUAAGUCUCCCCUCUUCCAUGGUAUUGUGUGGAAACGUGGCCUUUUUUCCUUCCUUUGGAAGAUGUCUCGGUUCAAGGAUCCAUGCUUGUGAAUAGUGGGUUGAGUGUUCUCCAAAUAAUGGCUCAAAACAAUUGAAAAGCAAAAGCAAUACUAACUUCUAAUCAACUAACAAUUAACAUUUAAUUUCAAGCCAUUUACUU
rnacentral:lncRNA from 1 species